CGCUGGCGGCAGGCCUCAAACAUGCAAGUCUAGGGGGUGUAGCAAUACAUCACCGGCGGACGGGUGCGUAACGCGUGGGAAUAUACCUAUCGAUUCGGAACAACUGAGGGAAACUUCAGCUAAUACCGAAUACGUCCUAACGGAGAAAGAUUUAUCGUCGAUAGAUUAGCCCGCGUUCGAUUAGCUAGUUGGUGGGGUAACGGCCCACCAAGGCGACGAUCGAUAGCUGUUCUGAGAGGAAGAUCAGCCACACUGGGACUGAGACACGGCCCAGACUCCUACGGGAGGCAGCAGUUGGGAAUCUUGGACAAUGGGGGAAACCCUGAUCCAGCCAUGCCGCGUGAGUGAUGAAGGCCUUCGGGUUGUAAAACUCUUUCGCGCACGACGAUAAUGACGGUAGUGCGAGAAGAAGCUCCGGCUAACUUCGUG
rnacentral:rRNA from 1 species